ACGGGAGGCAGCAGUGAGGAAUAUUGGUCAAUGGACGAGAGUCUGAACCAGCCAAGUAGCGUGCAGGAUGACGGCCCUAUGGGUUGUAAACUGCUUUUGUACGGGAAUAAAGUGACCUACGUGUAGGUUUUUGCAUGUACCGUAAGAAUAAGGACCGGCUAAUUCCGUGCCAGCAGCCGCGGUAAUACGGAAGGUCCGGGCGUUAUCCGGAUUUAUUGGGUUUAAAGGGUGCGUAGGCUGUGCGACAAGUCAGGGGUGAAAGCCCGCCGCCCAACGGUGGAACUGCCUUUGAUACUGUCGCGCUGGAAUACGGAUGCCGUGGGAGGAAUGAGUAGUGUAGCGGUGAAAUGCAUAGAUAUUACUCAGAACACCGAUUGCGAAGGCAUCUCACGAAUCCGUCAUUGACGCUGAGGCACGAAAGCGUGGGGAUCAAACAGGAUUAGAUACCCUGGUA
rnacentral:rRNA from 1 species